AGAGUUUGAUCCUGGCUCAGGACGAACGCUGGCGGCGUGCUUAACACAUGCAAGUCGAGCGGAAAGGCCCUUCGGGGUACUCGAGCGGCGAACGGGUGAGUAACACGUGAGUAACCUGCCCUUGGCUCUGGGAUAGCUCCGGGAAACCGGAAUUAAUACCGGAUAUGACUUCGGCCGACAUCGGCUGCGGUGGAAAGAUUUAUCGGCCAGGGAUGGGCUCGCGGCCUAUCAGCUUGUUGGUGGGGUAACGGCCUACCAAGGCGACGACGGGUAGCCGGCCUGAGAGGGCGACCGGCCACACUGGGACUGAGACACGGCCCAGACUCCUACGGGAGGCAGCAGUGGGGAAUAUUGCGCAACGGGCGAAAGCCUGACGCAGCGACGCCGCGUGGGGGAUGAAGGCCUUCGGGUUGUAAACCCCUUUCGGCAGGGACGAAGCGAAAGUGACGGUACCUGCAGAAGAAGCGCCGGCUAACUACGUGCCAGCAGCCGCGGUAACACGUAGGGCGCAAGCGUUGUCCGGAAUCAUUGGGCGUAAAGAGCUCGUAGGUGGUUUGUCACGUCUGCUGUGAAAACUCGGGGCUUAACCCCGAGCUUGCAGUGGAUACGGGCAGACUAGAGGUAGGUAGGGGAGAAUGGAAUUCCCGGUGUAGCGGUGAAAUGCGCAGAUAUCGGGAGAACACCGGUGGCGGAAGGCGGUUCUCUGGGCCUUACCUGACACUGAGGAGCGAAAGCGUGGGGAGCGAACAGGAUUAGAUACCCUGGUAGUCC
rnacentral:rRNA from 1 species